rnacentral:rRNA from 1 species
UACGUGGGGGGCUAGCGUUGUCCGGAUUUAUUGGGCGUAAAGAGCGUGUAGGCGGCCAGGUAGGUCUGGUGUGAAAACUCGAGGCUUAACCUCGAGAUGUCAUCGGAAACCAUCUGGCUAGAGUCCGGAAGAGGAGAGUGGAAUUCCUGGUGUAGCGGUGAAAUGCGCAGAUAUCAGGAAGAACACCAAUGGCGAAAGCAGCUCUCUGGGACGGUACUGACGCUGAGACGCGAAAGCGUGGGGAGCGAACAGG